CCUGUUGGUGUCUCUGCAGCAGCGGCUCCAAGGCGCACACGCGGAGCACCAGCAAGUUGCGGAGCAGCUCCCAGCUGGUGCGGCUCUGAGAGAAUCAUCUACCUUGCGCUGUCUUCCGUUUCCUCACCCCUCACUUCUCCACCCCUGGUGAUCUGGCUUCGGAUCUCAUCCCUCCGCUGGAACGACUCUCUCCAAGGACACAAUCUCCUCAUUUCUACAUCUGAUGGCCUCUUCUCAGAUCCCAGCAUCCUUCCCUUUGGGCAGUAUUUGACUUUGUGGACUACCCUCCACCGCGGGGGGGCAAACUGGGCCCUUUGAAAACAAACUCACUUCUGUUUUCGCCACACCGCGGAGUCCUGGACUGGAAGUCUUACUCUAGUAUCUGUUAGUCUUCAGACUGUGGGCAAGUCACUUCUCUAAUCUGGGCCACAGUUUCCUUUUCAGUAAAGUGGGCAUAAUCAGUCACCCAUUUAUUGCAAGCACUUACGGAGCACAGUACUUGUGCCAGGUUCUGCUAUCCGAAAACGGGUUCCAUAGACGGUCCCUGCCCUCAGGGAGCUUAUAGUCUAUCCCGCAGGGGUGGGCUGCCACCCGGUUAUACUCAUUGCACACCCUCCCAUUGAUUGCACUUUGGCUCAGUGGAACUGCGACAUUAACAAAAAGCAAUACUGAAAAUAUUAUGAAAAAUGUUUCCUCUAAAGCCCUUUCUAGACUCUUGGAAAGUCCCUUGGAAAGGCAGUUGAUAUAAGUCAGGGCCAAGGGAAAAAAAGCUCUUCAUUAGGGGAAUGUAUUAAAGGUGAUGACCAAAUUCAA